UUAGCACAAAACCAGCCCAUUUCUCAUUCUUAUGGCCGGCCAAAGCAAGAACAAAGGAAGAAAAGGAAGAACAAAACCCUAGGUGAAAAAAUUCAAGGGAAAAGUGUGAAAACUCAAGGAAACAAGUGAAAAAAAAGGUAAGAUUUUUCAAUUAAGCUUGAGAUCUCUCUUUCUUAAGUAUUUUUUCUUAUUUUCCAUGGUUGAAUCACAUGAUUUCAUGAUGAAUCCCAUGCUGGCUGAACACUUAGAGGGAGGUUUUGAUGCUUGAUUUGGUUAGAUUUCAAUGUAUUUUACUGUUUUUAGUUAGUUAGUUAUGUGUAGCAUGAAAAGCCAACAAGAAAAAUUCAUUUUCUCCCAUCACCCAUCAUUGGCCGAAUUCUCCAUGUGGAAUAUUGAUGAUGAUUUUGAUUUUAUUUCAAGUGAUUUGGUUAGGAAUUAGUGAUUUAUGGUGUGAGAAUCAAGCUUGAAAAAUUAUAGUGUUGAUGCACCCACCAUGGCCGAAUUUUCCAAGAGAAAAUGUGAGGAUGAUUUUGCCAUAUUUCAAGUUAUUUAAUUUGUGUUUGAUGAUUUGGAGUAUUGGGAGAAAAAUGGAAUUAUUUGGAGUUGAAUUGGACAUAUUGGCCAAUUAAUCGAGUGAUAGAUCGAAUUAGGCCAAUACUGUUUUAUUUAGGUACAUAAUUGAACUUAUAUUGAACAUCGUAUUUAGAUAGUUGCCCGAGUAUUUCACAUCCCAUUUCAUGCAUUAGUAUAAAGCCUGAAUUGGUUUUACAACGGUUUAGCACAAAUGUAGUAAAUAGCUUAUUGUGUAUUAUGUCUAGGUGGUGAGCUUUCUGACAAAAGUAAAGAGAUAGUACUCGAGGAUCAAGAAUAGGAGUACUCGAAAUUCAACUCCCGAAAUAGUGAGUAACCUUAUUAUCGUCUUAAUUAUCUAAAGUAGUUUUUAUUCGUUUUUGUGAUUUGAUAGAAAAAUGAGUUUAAAUAGUAAAUCUUUAUGUUUUAUAAACAAAAUGUGAUUAAAUGAAAUGAUUUUAUAAAAUUGACUGGAAAUUGAAAGAUGGUUUUGAAAAUGGAGUAAUUAGAGACUAAUUGUUGUGUUAUAAAUCAUGGUUUGAAUUGAAUGGCUUAUGAUAAUAUUGACAUGAAUGGUUGGAUUUGGUAAAUGUGCUGAAAAAGUAUGAACUGUUGAUUUGCCUUGAGAGGCUAUAAAAUAAAAUAAUUGCCAUGUCAUGCUGUUGAAUUUUAUUGAAUUGGUGGAUUAUAAUUGGUCGCUGUAGUGGACAGGUUCCGUGAACCAACCUAUUAGAGGGGCACGGUAACCCUAUUAUAUUCUUACCUCAGUAUAAGAGCCGCGGAUGGAUAACUCUUGAGGUUAACACUUUAGAGUUCACUUCACGCUAAACCACCACGUGAGGGUGAACUCAACCAAUGCCAAGGAAUGGCUAUAUUUUCAAAAUAAAAACAUGAUUUAUGCAUACAUGACUUUUUAAUAGCCUUGGCGGACUCAAUUGGGAUAGCCCUCGGUCAAGGUAUCCCUGAUAACUGAGUAUGAGAAUGAUUUUGGCACGAGCCAAACUUUUCAGGAAAUCAUAAGCCUCGUUGUUUAUUUUGGUGAAAUGAAUCUAUUUUAUCUUAUUAAAAUGAGUUUGAAAUGCUGUGAAUCAUUUUUAUGCUAAUCUAUUUUAUCUGUCUCCAUUUACUUGGCUUUAGAUAAUUUAGAUGGUAUUUGUUUACUCACUGGGAUUAUAUAAUCUCACCACCCUCCUUUCCACCCAUUUCAGGCUCAAGAUAGUCGGUAGAUAGCUCACUUUGUUGAGGGCUACAGUUGAACUUGCAUCCUCAAAAACUGUAAGUUUAUCGCUUUUGAUACUUUUGGUUGUUCGUGGGCCCACGUGUCACUGUAAAUUAAAUUUUAUACUUUGGUUAUCUGUAUUACAAUAUGGAUGAAUUUAUUUAGCUUUUACGCUACAAAAAUUAUUUAUCGGUAACUCUAUAAAUAUUGUUUUAUAAGAAAAUAGAAUAUUUUAUUGAAUAUUUUUAUUAUAUUCAAAUAGUCAUAAUUUCAUUUUAAAUGAAGGUUUUAGACAUCUAAACUUAUUUUUGAUUAUGAAAUAUGUGUUUUCCAAUUGCAUACUACAUUUUUAGCUGGUUUCGAGAUUUUUGAGGAAAAAUUACCAAAAUACCUCUGUGUAGCUGAAAUUUCUCUUUGACUGUUUUUGAAUUGAAAUUGGUUCAUAUCACUUUAAAACAUGAUUUUAGUAACUAAUACUCACAAGGGAAGCAAGAAAACUGAUAUUAAAGCCUUGCGGGGUUCCAGUUGACAUUCCGGGUAAUGAGUGUCGAUCGGGACACUGCGACGGUUGUCACGGGCUCGAGGGGAGUACCGAGUCGUGAUAGAUUUAGAGUGUCCUUUGAUUCAACUAAGUGUGAAGUGAUUGAUAUGAGUACAAACAAAAUCUCAUUUAUAGGAAAUAGAUUGAAGAAUAUGUAUGUAAUCUUUCUUGAAGAAGUAAAUAGUGAAGUAUGUCUUGUUUCAAAUGCUAAAAAUGAUAGUUGGCUAUGGCAUAGGAGAUUAGGACAUGUGAGCAUGCAUACUAUGUCAAAAUUAAUUAAGAAAAAUCUUGUUGCUGGAUUGCCUGAGUUAAAAUUUGAAAAUGAUAGGAUAUGUAAUGUUUGCCAACUAGGGAAACAAGUUAGGACAUCCUUUAAGUCUAAGAAGAUUGUGUCAACAUCUAGACCUCUUGAAUUGCUUCAUAUUGAUCUAUUUGGUCCAAUAAGCACAACUAGCUUAAGUGGAAAAUCUUAUGGCUUUGUAAUAGUUGAUGACUAUUCUAGGUAUACUUGGGUGUAUUUUCUUACUCAUAAGAAUGAUGCUCUUCAAGCAUUCUUAAGUCAUUGUAAGAAAGUAGAAAAUGAAAAAGGACUAGCCAUAGUUAGCAUAAGAAGUGAUCAUGGAGGAGAAUUUAAAAAUGAUGAGUUUGAAAAAUUUUACAAUGAAAAGGGGUUGAAUCACAAUUUUUCUACACCUAGAACACCCUAGCAAAAUGGAGUUGUAGAGAGAAAAAAUCGAACCUUGAAGGAAAUGGCUAGGACCAUGCUAUGUGAAAACAACCUACCUAAAUAUCUUUGGGCCGAGGCAGUAAAUACAGUAGUUUAUAUUCUUAAUAGAGUCUCAGUAAGACCCGUGAUUUCAAAGACUCCAGAUGAACUUUAUAAAGGUAGGAAACCAAAUAUUUCUCACCUUAGGAGUUUUGGCUAUAAAUGCUUUGUAUUGAACAAUGAAAAAUAGCCCCUAGGGAAGUUUGAUGCAAAGAGUGAUGAGACAAUAUUUUUAGGAUAUGCAUUAAACUCAAAGGCCUAUAGAGUUUUUAACAAAAAGACCCUGACUGUUGAAGAAUCAAUUCAUGUAGUUUUUAAUGAGUCAAAUGCAUUGCAAAAAGAAGUUCAUGAUGAUGAUGAUGAUGAUGUAGAAGUCCUAGAAAAACAAAUGGAGGAAAUAAGCUUAGAAAACAACAAAAAUAAUGAAAAAAUCUCACCUAUAAGAGAAGAUGGAGCUCCACCUCUAGAAAAUCUACAAAAAGCAGAAAAUCAGCAUUAUGAUCUACCAAGGAGUUGGAGAUUUGUGAGAGAUCACCCACAAGACCAAAUAAUUGGUGAGAUUUCUCAAGGAGUUAAAACUAGGAAAGUAACUAGAGAAACUUGUGAGUUUUCAACUUUUAUAUCUCAAAUUGAACCUAAAAACUUUGAAAAAGCUGAAAAAGAGGAAAGUUGGAUAAUGGCCAUGCAAAAAGAACUUGAUCAAUUCACAAGGAGUCAUGUAUGGUCAUUGGUACCUAAACCUUCAAAUCACCCUAUUGUUGGUACAAAAUGGGUAUUUAGAAAUAAGUAGAUGAGCAAGGAAAUAUAGUUAGAAAUAAAGCUAGGUUUUUUUUUAUGCUGGAAAUUCACGCAGAGCCCAACUACCUUGUUAAAUUUUAUUAAUUACGAAAUAAAAAGUAUAAAGAAAGGGGACCUAAACCGUACCUCCAAGUUACAUGAUCAUGAGAAAGUUUCAGAUAAGCACCUAGAGUAAAGAGAACCAUUUUACGUGCAUAACUUUUGAUGCUAUAGUAAAACAGAUAUUCCCUACUAUUACAUUGAGUCAGUAAACUAAAAUAAAAUUUAAAACAAAAAAUGUAAAUAAGAAAAGCACCUAGAAUUGAGUGUUUCAUUUUAUGACCAUAAUUUUUACUAUCGUCAUAAAAUUGAAACACAUCCAUAUUACAAAAUUCUAUGUGACUAGCAAAAUAAAAAAAGUAAACUCGAAGUACUAUUCCUUUACAUUCAUUUAAAGUGAACAUAAGGUAAACUAACUUUAUCUAAUCUAAGAAUACCUCUAAGCUGACCUUCUACUUGUGAAAAUACUUGCAGGUUCUAGUGCGUAUGCUCUUGAUUUGAGAGAUGGUCUGCUAUCUGGUUCCCCUCUCGAUGGAUGUGUGAAAUCCGAAAAGAAAUACCACUCAAAGAUCUGCGAAUGGAAGCAAGCAAAUACCGAGUCCUAGAGAAUCCCUGAUGAACCUCAUUUAUCAUGUGAACCACUACUUUUGCAUCCAUUUCUAUCCAGAGUCUAGUAACAUUGUACUCAAUACACAAAAGUAAACCCCUGUGUAGUGCCAUUAACUCUGCCUGUAAUGAAUCAUACGGUCUAAAAUUUUCAAAAAAUCCCAAAAUCAUGGUACUUAUAUGGUCUCAAAGGAGUCCUUCCCUAGCAGCAUUCUGAAAAUUGUGCUUGAAACUGCCAUCAACAUUCAACUUAAACUCACCUACCGAUGGUUUAUGCCAAGAGAAUAUUUUUGGAGGAUGUGGGACUACCUGCUAAAAUGUUAAACCCCAUGCCUGAGUAAUUUGCAGGUCUCCCCUCCAUUGCCACCGGUGGAAUUGCCUUUCAUGAAAUAAUUGGUGGAUGAGUUUGAGUACUCUCCACACAACUCUGUUAGGAUAUAUACCAAGGUCCCUAUGCUUCGCAUCAUUCCUUUCAACCCAUAAGAACCAAAAAAUGAAUAAAGGCAUUAACAUGCAUAUGUGUCCUUUUUUCAUGUAAUCACCAGAGUACAACCAUGCCCAUAAAAUUUGAUAAACAGUCUGGGGAUGAGCAAUGUUGAUUUGGAAAAUUUUCGCAAAAUAAUUCUAAACCUAUGCAGCUAUUGGGCAUUCCCACAUGACAUGCAAGAAAGACUCCUUGGAGUUACAGUGUUGGCAUUUAGAAGCUAACUAGAAUCCCUUGGUUUUCAAUCGCAAAUCAACUGGGAUCCAAUCCUGUAAUAACCUCCAUAGAAAGAAAAAAGUGGUAAAAGG
rnacentral:lncRNA from 1 species